UGUGUGUGUGUGUGUGUGUGUGUGUCUGUGUCUGUGUGUGUGUGUGUCUGUGUCUGUGUGUGUGUGUGUGUGUGUUUUCUUCCAUGAAAAUGCAAACCAGAGCAGUAGAUCCAGAUAGGAGUGACGGUGGAGUGGAGUCGACAUCCAGCUGUUCCAGUUUAACAGGAUCAAACGCGUCCAGCUCGUCGCCUGCAGAAACUUAAAGCCCAUCAAAUAGAUGUGAGGCUCGUUACAAGAAGGCAAGAAAUGAAGUGAGGAGAAAAUGUCUUCUCUUGGAUGAAAUCAGCAUCGAUCCACAAGAGAAAAUGUCUGUGGACAGUGGAUCAGACACUGAAGAAGAGGUUGACUCAGCUGAGAGGGACGCUGAAACCUGAACAGAGAGAAACUUGUGCUGCAGCUCCUCCUGGUGGCUGGUUGUUGAACUGCAGCAGAUAUUAAAACAAAAACUUUUAUUUAAAUUGAAUUUGCUGAAUAAAUGAUAUUGAUCUAUAAUGUCAGAUCAGUUUCUGGUUGAUCAGAAAGUUCUUUGAUUUAUAUUUUAACGU